rfam:Neotoma lepida isolate 417 scaffold_740, whole genome shotgun sequence.
AUCUGGAUAGCUCAGUAGGUAGAGCAUGAGACUCUUAAUCUCAGGGUCAUGGGUUUGUGUCCAAUGUUGGGUG